GCGUACGUAGUGUACGUAUUACGUCCCUGUGUCUUCCUCUGUAACAUCUAUCUCCUCUUCGUUUCUCUUUCCAUUUGCCUCCUAGAAAGGAAACAAAGAUGUCACUGAGUUCAGCAAAGAUGACAAAUCCUGCAACAAGAACCACAACUACACCAAUAGCAAACAUCACCAAGUGUAUAAACCUUUGAAAUGAUCCAAAACCUGUGGAAACAUCACAAAUACUUUUCAUCAACUGUAUCAGUAAAUAACCUUCACCCUGUGUACAAUGUAAAGUCUGAUAGGAAACAUUUUUUACCACACAAUAUGAUUUCAGGCCAGAUUAUGUCCAUGGGCAGCACUAACUCCUCCUCCAAGCUGCUGUGCUGAAUCACACAGGUGUAGUUGUGUUCCUCCAGCUCCUCAUCAGGGACUUUCAGAAUGCUUCUCUUCUGGAAGCUUCCAUCCUGGUUGGGUAACGUCUCUCUGAGCUCCACGUCCUCAUGCACAUCCUCUCCGUCCUUCCUCCAGGAGAUCGUCACUGCUUUAGGGAAAAAACCUGUAGCGUGACACACCACCUCUGAUGAAAAAUAGUACUAAUGGAACACUGAUGCCUCAGGACGAACUGCAGAGAGACACAAAGGCAGAAAUAUUAAAACUCUGUCAGAUUUA